rnacentral:tRNA from 1 species
GUGGCCGUAGCUCAACUGGCAGAGCAUCAGAUUGUGAAUCUGAAAGGUGCGGGAUCAAGACCCGUCGGCCACC